rnacentral:rRNA from 1 species
CCCUUAGAUGUCCGGGGCUGCACGCGCGCUACACUGAAGGAAUCAGCGUGCUAAAACCAUUGUCGAAAGGCAUUGGUAAACCCAUUAAAAUCCUACGUGAUUGGGAUCGGGAAUUGCAAUUAUUUCCCUUGAACGAGGAAUUCCCAGUAAGUGUGGGUCAUAAGCUCGCGUUGAUUACGUCCCUGCCCUUUGUACACACCGCCCGUCGCUGCCCGGGACUGAGCCGUUUCGAGAAAAGCGGGGACUGCUGCUGUCGGGGCUUUCGAGCCUUGGCUUCGGUGGAAACCGCUUUAAUCGCAGUGGCUUGAACCGGGCAAAAGUCGUAACA